UGGGGAAUAUUGCACAAUGGGGGAAACCCUGAUGCAGCGACGCCGCGUGAGCGAAGAAGGUUUUCGAAUCGUAAAGCUCUGUCCUAUGGGAAGAUAAUGACGGUACCAUAGGAGGAAGCACCGGCUAACUACGUGCCAGCAGCCGCGGUAAUACGUAGGGGGCAAGCGUUGUCCGGAAUCACUGGGCGUAAAGGGUUCGCAGGCGGAAAUGCAAGUCAGUUGUGAAAGGCAGAGGCUCAACCUCUGUAAGCAAUUGAAACUGUAUUUCUUGAGAUGUGGAGAGGCAAGUGGAAUUCCUAGUGUAGCGGUGAAAUGCGUAGAUAUUAGGAAGAAUACCGGUGGCGAAGGCGACUUGCUGGACACAAACUGACGCUGAGGAACGAAAGCGUGGGUAGCAAACAGG
rnacentral:rRNA from 1 species